rnacentral:rRNA from 1 species
UACGGAGGGAGCUAGCGUUGUUCGGAAUUACUGGGCGUAAAGCGCACGUAGGCGGCUUUGUAAGUUAGAGGUGAAAGCCCGGGGCUCAACUCCGGAACUGCCUUUAAAACUGCAUCGCUAGAAUUGUGGAGAGGUAAGUGGAAUUCCGAGUGUAGAGGUGAAAUUCGUAGAUAUUCGGAAGAACACCAGUGGCGAAGGCGACUUACUGGACACAUAUUGACGCUGAGGUGCGAAAGCGUGGGGAGCAAACAGG